UAGUUGUGCACACAUGUAGUAGUACACACAUGUAGUUGUACACACAUGUAGUAGUACACACAUGUAGUUGUACACACAUGUAGUUGUACACACAUGUAGUGUGCUACGUACAUGUAGUUGUACAUACAAAGAAAGCUUUACUCCUGCCUAGGCCUGAGCACUGGCUUGUGCCUUAUAAAGGCGCAGGCCUGCAACUGCUCGAUCACGUGACUGCCGGCUGAAGGACCUCCACUGGAGGGAUCUCCACAGAGCCCCUCUGGAGAGUGUUUGGCCUACUCCUCCACGCUGACCGGACGCCCUUGGAAGAGAAUCAUGGUUGGAGGAGGCCUCAAGCCUCCAAAUCCUCCCCCGGAGUCGGUUGUGGAAAAGUCCACGGGAAAAUCGACGACCCCAAGCGCGACGGUGAUGGUGGCGGGCGGACGUCGAGGCCAUUUGCCCGGCACAGCUGGCGCUAGAAAAUUGGCGGUGGGUCGUGGCGGCGGUGGUGCCGGUGGCGGCGACGGCGGUGGCGCUGGGAGACCCAGGCGGAUGUUGCCGCACUGGCACCAUCGGCCUCUCUCCGGCGACUGCGGCCGCGCGGUCGAACCCCACCCGGACGUCGACGCCCACAGCUUUGACAACGGC